UCGACCUUCCCGUGCUCAAAUACUUUGGGGUUCGCGACCUUGGUGCGCCCGGGACGCGUCCUGGAGCUUAAGUAGGGCUCCAAGUCCCCGGGGCUGCCUGCAAAGCCGCGCCUGAGGAGCGACCUCUUUCUUCCUCCCUCAGGCUCCCUGGACAUUCCAGGAGGACUCCUGGAGGCCGAGAUGCGCCUGCGAAAUGUCCUGCUAAGAAGGCGCUUUGUUCGCAGUACUCUCUCGGGAAGGAAAGUGGGUGGGCAUGAAGUUGGGCCUGACGGUCUAGAAAGCGAUUCUAGUCAUCCAGGUCCUUGUCCCAUAGAAAGGGGUGUCGCUGGCUGCUGUUAGUGGAGUCUGCCUUUGGAAAGGUCACUGCUGCACCCAGAGAUUAUCCCAGACCAGCGUCAUGUACCUAGCGGGCCCCAAACGCCUGCAAGAACGUCCAGAUACUGCGUCUCAUGGUUGCAGGCUCCCGGGUCUUUCAACUGUCUUCCUGAUGGUGGGGGGUCCUGCUGUCCUUGCUGCCUCUAGUAAGGAGAAAGUGGGGACCGAUUCCCAUUGGAGUGAGGAGUGCUUUCUCCCAGGUGAAGAGGAAGUGUUUUCUGUCACCCUAGGUGACACCUCUACCAAGUUGUCCUAUGUCCUCCUCCCCCCAAAAGCUGGGGGAGGAUGGGGCUGCUUCCUGAGCAGGGCCUCACCUGGGGACCGUGUGGGCCACCUAUGGAAACCCAGCCUUCAUCGCCAGGCCAGUUCACCUCAGCAACAGCAGCAUCCCAGGGCUGUCUGAUGGAGCUACCUGCCGUGAUGAGUUUGUUCUGCAUAAGUUUGCAUUUAAAUAGCCUUGGGUGUCCAGUGGCUACCAUCCUGGACAAAGCAACUCUCUUGGGAGGAGGGAAGGAGUUCCCAGGAUGUCGAUGGAGGGGCACAGGUCCCCUCCUGCAGGGCUUCUCCAAGGAGCCAGGAUGGAUCCAGACCUUGACGCCUGCUUGGAGCCAGCCUCAGAGCUGAGAGGGUCUCACUAAAUCAUCCAGGUUGGUCUUGAACACUCGAUCCUCCUGCCUUGGCCUUAUGCGGUUGAGCUGGUGGGCUGCUGGGCAGGGUGCUUCAGGUGCGGACCCCGAGAGGAGACCCAUAUGCUGUUGCAGCCGAUCCUCUAGCAAGCCUCCAGGUACCCAGGGGGCUGUGGCAGCUCCUGCCACUGUGUCCUCAUUCAACCCCAGUGCCAGGCCUGGGGACCCUCCCAUUGCCCCACUGCAGUAGGGACGGAAAGUAGAACCACUGGAAUUACAGGUGUGUGCCGCUGCACCUGGUUCCUUUCAGUUCAGGAGAGCCCGGAGGAUGAGCCAGGAAGGCAGCCUCGCCGGGUGCCAGCACCUGUCUUUGUCUUCUAGCCUCCAGAACUAUAAAAAUAAAUGUCUGUCGUU